UCCGGGGUGGUGUAAGUGGCAGCACGCCUGGUUUUGGUCCAGGAAGAGGGGGUUCAAAUCCUCCCCCCGGAA
rnacentral:tRNA from 1 species